rnacentral:rRNA from 1 species
GAUGAACGCUAGCGGGAGGCCUAACACAUGCAAGCCGAGCGGUAUUUCUUCUUCGGGAGAGAGAGAGCGGCGUACGGGUGCGGAACACGUGUGCAACCUGCCUUUAUCUAGAGGAUAGCCUUUCGAAAGGAAGAUUAAUACUCUAUAAUAUAUUAAUUGGCAUCAAUUGAUAUUGAAAACUCCGGUGGAUAGAGAUGGGCACGCGCAAGAUUAGCUAGUUGGUGAGGUAACGGCUCACCAAGGCAAUGAUCUUUAGGGGGCCUCAGAGGGUGAGCCCCCACUCUGGUACUGAGACACGGACCAGACUCCUACGGGAGGCAGCAGUGAGGAAUAUUGGUCAAUGGGUGCAAGCCUGAACCAGCCAUCCCGCGUUAAGUAUUAAGGUCCUAUGGAUUGUAAACUUCUUUUGUAUAGGGAUAAACCUACCCUCGUGAGGGUAGCUGAAGGUACUAUACGAAUAAGCACCGGCUAACUCCGUGCCAGCAGCCGCCGCCGUAA